CAGCAGCCGCGGGAAUACGGAGGGUGCAAGCGUUAAUCGGAAUUACUGGGCGUAAAGCGCACGCAGGCGGUCUGACAAGUCAGAUGUGAAAUCCCCGGGCUUAACCUGGGAACUGCAUUUGAAACUGUCAGGCUGGAGUCUUGUAGAGGGGGGUGGAAUUCCAGGUGUAGCGGUGAAAUGCGUAGAGAUCUGGAGGAAUACCGGUGGCGAAGGCGGCCCCCUGGACAAAGACUGACGCUCAGGUGCGAAAGCGUGGGGAGCAAACAGGAUUAGAUGCCCGUGUAGUCCCUGUCUCUUAUAC
rnacentral:rRNA from 1 species